rnacentral:ncRNA from 1 species
UAAAAGUUUUAUUUUAGCUUAAGAUAUUAAUUUAUGAUUUUUAUACAUGUAUAUUUUUGUUUUUUAUAUAUAAAAUUUUAAAAAUUUUAAAUUUAUAUUUUAUUCGCAGUUUAUAAAUUUUAAAAUUUAAGAGAUUAAGAUUAAGAAAUUUAUAUUAAUAUUAACAAAAUUUGUGCCAGCAGUUGCGGUUAUACAAAUAAUAUAAUUAAUAUUUAUUAAUAAAUAAUUAAUUAUAUUAUUAAUUAAUAAAAAUUUAAAAUUAUUAAGUGAAAUUUUAAUUUUAAUUUAAUUUAAUAAAAAUUUAAUGAGGUUAUUAAAUUUUUUUUUAGACUAGGAUUAGAUACCCUAUUAUUUAAAAUGUAAAUUUAUAUAUUAAAUUAGUAAUAGUUAUUUUCUUGAAAAUUAAAAAAUUUGGCGGUAUUUUAGUCUUUUCAGAGGAACCUGUUCUAUAAUCGAUAUUCCACGAUUAAUUAUACUUAUAUUAAAUUAGUUUAUAUAUCGUCGUAGUUUGAAUAUUUUAUAAGGAUAAUAAAUAUUCAAUAUUUAAUAUUAUAAAUUAAAUCAGAUCAAGGUAUAGCUUAUAUAUAAGAAGAAAUGGGUUACAAUAAAUUUAUUUAAAUGGAUUUAAAAUUUAAAAUUUUAAUAAAAGUGGAUUUGAAAGUAAUAUAAUUUAUUUAAAUUAUAUGAUUUAAGCUCUAAAAUAUGUACAUAUCGCCCGUCACUUUCAUAUAAAAUGAAAUAAGUCGUAACAAAGUAGAUGUACUGGAAAGUGUAUCUAGAAUGA